AGCUUUGAGCAGUGGCAGUAUCGUAGCCAAUGAGGUUUAUCCGAGGCAUGAUUAUUGCUAAUUGAAAACUUUUACUAAUACCCCACCAUGAUGACUUGAAAAAUAGUUGGCAUUGGCAAUUUUUGACAUUCUCUGUGGAGA
ensembl:snRNA U4 U4 spliceosomal RNA